GACGAACGCUGGCGGCGUGCUUAACACAUGCAAGUCGAGCGGCGCGGCGAACGGGUGAGUAACGCGAGAGUAACUGACCCCCUCUCUGGGAUACCAGUUGGAAACGGCUGCUAAUACCGGAAAGUGGGGGAUGACUCGCGUCCUAUCAGCUUGUUGGUGGGGUAGUGGCCUACCAAGGCGACGACGGGUCGCCGGCCUGGGAGGGCGACCGGCCACAUUGGGCUGAGGUACGGCCCAAACUCCUACGGGAGGCAGCAGUGGAGAAUAGUGCGCAAUGGGGGAAACCCUGAUGCAGGAACGCCGCGUGCGGGAUGACGGCCUUCGGGUUGUAAACCGCUUUCAGCCAUAACGCGGUAGUGGAAGAAGAAGCACCGGCUAACUACGUGCCAGCAGCCGCGGUAAUAC
rnacentral:rRNA from 1 species